rnacentral:rRNA from 1 species
UACGGAGGAUCCAAGCGUUAUCCGGAUUUAUUGGGUUUAAAGGGUGCGUAGGCGGGCCCUUAAGUCAGUGGUGAAAGUUUGCAGCUCAACUGUAAAAUUGCCAUUGAAACUGAGGGUCUUGAGUGUAAAUGAGGUAGGCGGAAUGUGUUGUGUAGCGGUGAAAUGCUUAGAUAUAACACAGAACACCAAUUGCGAAGGCAGCUUACUGGGAUACAACUGACGCUGAGGCACGAAAGCGUGGGGAUCAAACAGG